rnacentral:lncRNA from 1 species
UUUGAGAGGGUUUUGUAGGAGUUAGCAAUUGAUGUUCAAAGUCAGGGUUUAUAUCAAUGAUUUGGGUUUUAUAUAAUAUAAUUAGGGCUAGCAAUUUUGGAUAGUUCGUGCAAUUGGCAUGACAUCUAUGGUUAAAAAAUUGAUAUUAUUUGAAUUAUUGGGUGUACUAAGUGCAUACAAAAUUUUGUAAUAAUCUAACGGCGUGGUUUAAAGAUAUCUGGUUUUUAGCACAAGAAGGUUUUAGAAGGUGGCAGUUUGAGGUUGGGUAGGGUUUCUAUGAUAUCUAAAGUUCUAUCAAUUGCAUUAAGGUGAAAAUUGGCAUGGUGUUGGAUGACUUAAAGA